UACGAAGGGGGCUAGCGUUGCUCGGAAUCACUGGGCGUAAAGGGUGCGUAGGCGGGUCUUUAAGUCAGGGGUGAAAUCCUGGAGCUCAACUCCAGAACUGCCUUUGAUACUGAGGAUCUUGAGUACGGGAGAGGUGAGUGGAACUGCGAGUGUAGAGGUGAAAUUCAUAGAUAUUCGCAAGAACACCAGUGGCGAAGGCGGCUCACUGGCCCGGUACUGACGCUGAGGUGCGAAAGCGUGGGGAGCAAACAGG
rnacentral:rRNA from 1 species